UACGUAGGGGUCGAGCGUUGUCCGGACUUACUGGGCGUAAAGUGUGACGCAGGCGGCCGCGCAAGUCGAGUGUGAAAUCCCUGGGCUCAACCCAGGAACUGCGUCCGAUACUGGUUGGCUUGAAUCCGGGAGAGGGAUGCGGAAUUCCAGGUGUAGCGGUGAAAUGCGUAGAUAUCAAGCGGAACACCGGUGGCGAAGGCGGCCUUCUGGACAGUGACUGACGCUGAGAACGCGAAAGCGUGGGGAGCAAACAGG
rnacentral:rRNA from 1 species